UUCAUGCUCUAAUACUCUGAAAUGCACUCUCAUCUCAUUUCUUCUGAGAGCUGCAUUCCAUAGGUUCCACCACCUUUUCCCUACCUCCUUUUUCUUCUUACACUCAUGUUAGAUAAACAAUUACCUUAAUGCUCUAGAGGUAAACACAUCUCUUUUCUUCUCCUUCCAUCUAUCAAAGGACGUGGCAGAUAUUUCUACUGAAAAUUACACAAAACAAUGGUCGUUUCAAAUUUAAAUCCACAAAGGGUGAGACUCACAAUGGUUGAAUAUGCCUCUCAAGUCCUAUUAUUACAGAAGAAUUUCAUGGUUCCCUAUAGAGGAAUUUUAAGCCAGCAAUAUGGCUGCUCAGGCAAGGAAUCACACCCAAAGAUAUGAUUCUGCCAGCAUGAAGAUACUCUCUGGAUUACAGUUUGUCACAUUUGCAUCUGAUGCUGCAUUCUGAAGCUCUUCCUGACAUCUCUCUUCGACUUCAACUUAAAGAAAUCUUCAACUUGUCUUUGGAAACCUUUAUAAAUUCAAGAGUUACUUUCUGUACUUAGAAAUUUUGCUUGCUCAACCAAAUGUCAUUUAAAAAUAAUAUUUUAUAGCUAAAACAACAAACAGAAUUAAAUCUCAUCUGGAUCUUAAAGCAGGAAGACACGCCUUUAGUCCAGAUCAUAUGACCUAGGAAAAGACACUUCUUUCAUCCUGAUGUUGAGUUGGGAAGGCACAGCUAUACUACAGAUCAUCUGAGUUUGGACAACCCACAUCUAAAUGGGCCACACUUUCUUCUGGAAGCCUGUAGAAGAACAGAAAAGAAGGACACCUUUGCCCUUUGCCUAUUUACCCCACCUUGCUAGUAAGUUCAUUCCUUCAGUGACUUUAGAACCUAUUUCUUUAGAAUUCCAGAGUACACCAAAGAUCAAAUGAGACAGCCAGCCUUAUGAACUGAGAAAUUACUCGAUUUUUAGGCCUUCCAUUGGAUUCGCUAGACUGCAGCCUGUAAGUCAUUCCAAUAA